ACAAAUUUCUUCUGUCUAAGGAUCCUUGGAAUGGUUUAAGAAACAGCCUACUUAUGGUCAAAGUUAAGAAAUGAAUAAUCUCUUAAACUAUGCCCCAUAUCCAAGACUCUGUUGUUUACAGAUUAUACCAAGAAAAUAUAAAACAUAGGUCUAGGCCAGGCACAGUGGCUCACGCCUGUAAUCCCAGCACUUUGGCGGGCCAAGGUGGGUGGAUCACCUGAGGUUAGGAGUUUGAGACCGGCCUGACCAACAUGGUAAAACCCUGUCUCUACUAAAAAUACAAAAAUUAGCUGGGCAUGGUGGCAGGCACCUGUAAUUCCAGCUACUCGGGAGGCUGAGGCAGGAGAAUCAUUCGAGUCCAGGAGGCAAAGGUUGCAGUGGGCCCAGAUAGCACCACUGCGCCAGCCUUGGUGACAGCGCAAGACGCCAUCUCAAAAAAACCACACACACACGUCUAAUACCUUUUUCUGAGGGACAACUUGCAUUUUAGUUCAUUUCUCACUGAAGCAAAAUAACAAUUUACAUUUAAAUUGUGGUUUUCCUUAAACAUAAGAAAAUGUAUAGUUCUUGAACACACCAGUCUAUUGGCAUUUUCUACAGCUAAUGCUUCCAGUGUCUAAAGUGGUGUGACAUCAUCUAUACCACCUUCAUUAUACUAUUUUUGUCCUGUGUAGGUGUGCAUAGUGAGCUAUAUACGCCUAGUAAUAUGUUUAUUCCUUGUGUUUAAGAGCAGGCAAGGUCAGAAGUUAUACUAAUUCUUUGGGGAUGAGUUCAUUGGUCAGUGUCAUCAAAUAACUUUUCUGAGAGCUAAAAGUUAGUCCAGUUAUUGGCUUAACCAAAAUGCCUAGGGUGUUACGGUAAAUGAUUGUUCAGUUCAGUCACAGACAGUUGAUCUGGUAGGCCUAGUUGCUGGUGUUCUAAUUAAUGCCUUAUAGUAGUCAAUCAAAAAUAACUGGGCACCGAUCAGGUACAUUACACUGAUACUCAGCAGGGAACC
rnacentral:lncRNA from 10 species